UACGUAGGUGGCAAGCGUUGUCCGGAUUUACUGGGCGUAAAGCGCGUGCAGGCGGCCGACUAAGUCAGGUGUGAAAGCCCGGGGCUCACCUCCGGAAGUGCGCUUGAAACUGGUCGGCUAGAGUACGGGAGAGGGAAGCGGAAUUCCUGGUGUAGCGGUGAAAUGCGUAGAUAUCAGGAGGAACACCGGCGGCGAAGGCGGCUUCCUGGACCGAUACUGGCGCUGAGACGCGAAAGCGUGGGGAGCAAACGGG
rnacentral:rRNA from 1 species